rnacentral:rRNA from 1 species
AUGUCUAUGUUUAUGUUGUCUGAACAUUGCAAGUUUGAAUGUUUUGCAGGACCUCUUUGUACUUGCCUUUGUCUGAAAUGUCUGAUCUUUUUUCACUUUCAUUGUUUUGCAGGACCCUUAAGCAACCACUUCUCUGUUGAGGUCAUACAUGGUGGAUAUUUCCUUUGUGCAGGCAAGCAUAGGGAUUACCACAAAGGCCACUCCAUUUGGUAUGACUACUGUAACAUAGAUAACUGGACACCUACUGUUGUUGCUAGUCUGGUUGAGGAAAUUGGGUAUGAGUUUGAGGGCAGGAUCAGGGCUUAUUGGUGUGUUCCUAGGUUGACAGUGUACAAGAAUGGAUUAAGAGAGAUUAAGAUGGGAGACAACACUAUGACAGAGAACAUGAAGGAUUGUGUUCUUAAUGGGAAUCAUUUUCAGUAA